GACGAACGCUGGCGGCGUGCCUAAUACAUGCAAGUUGAGCGCUGAAGGUUGGUACUUGUACCAACUGGAUGAGCAGCGAACGGGUGAGUAACGCGUGGGGAAUCUGCCUUUGAGCGGGGGACAACAUUUGGAAACGAAUGCUAAUACCGCAUAAAAACUUUAAACACAAGUUUUAAGUUUGAAAGAUGCAAUUGCAUCACUCAAAGAUGAUCCCGCGUUGUAUUAGCUAGUUGGUGAGGUAAAGGCUCACCAAGGCGAUGAUACAUAGCCGACCUGAGAGGGUGAUCGGCCACAUUGGGACGGAGACACGGCCCAAACUCCUACGGGAGGCAGCAGUAGGGAAUCCUCGGCAAUGGACGAAAGUCUGACCGAGCAACGCCGCGUGAGUGAAGAAGGGUUUCGGAUCGUAAAACUCUGUUGGUAGAGAAGAACGUUGGUGAGAGUGGAAAGCUCAUCAAGUGACGGUAACUACCCAGAAAGGGACGGCUAACUACGUG
rnacentral:rRNA from 1 species